rnacentral:lncRNA from 1 species
CUCUAUAUACGUGUGUAUAGACAUAUGUAUUUUUCUACAUAUGCCUAUAUUUUUGUAUAUGGAUAUUUUGGGUAGCAAGCUUUGUAAUGAUUUCUCCUAGUCUGUUACAUUUAUUCCUAUAAUUUUUGUUUUAUUGAUUGCAUAAAAAGUUUUUAUUUUUCAUGUAAAAAUUUAUUCUAUUUUUAGAGAUUUUUAUUGUUAAUAGAGUGAAGUUGCUCCCUUUUUCUUGUGGCUAAUUUUUGUAUUUUUUUGAGAGACAGGGUUUUGCCAUGUUGCUCAGGCUGGAAUUUCAUAUUUUUUAGUGGAAUAGAACUUUAUGAUUCAAAGGAGGAAAAUAAGCUUUUGAAGAACUUUUGAAAGACUUGAUAUUUAUCGAAUAGUUCUUUGAAAAUAUUUUGAUGACUAAGGGUGGUUCACGCCUGUAAUCCCAGCACUUUGGGAGGCCGAGGCGGGUGGAUCACUUGAGGUCAGGAGUUCGAGACCAGCCUGGCUAACAUGGUGAAACUGCGUCUCUACUAAAAAUACAAAAAUUAGCCAGGCAUGGUGGCAUGCACCUGUAAUCACAGCUACUCAGGAAGAUGAGGCAAGAGAAUCACUUGAACCUGGGAGGGAGAGGUGGCAGUGAGCCGAGAUCGCACCACUGCACCCAGCAUGGGCAACAGAGUGAGACUCCAUCUCAAAAAACAAAACAUUUUGAUGAAUAAAAUGUAAAUUAAUUAAAAACAUAAGGU